AUUAUUUUAGGAUUUGAUUAAGGCUUAUUUAGGAUUUAUCUAGGAUUUUAUUGGAAUUCAUUUGGGAUUUGGUUAGAAUUUGUUUAAGAUUUUAUUAGAUUUAAUUAGGAUUGGAUUAGGAUUUGAUUAGGAUUUAAUUAAGAUUUGACCAAAGUUUGACUAGGAUUUAUUUAAAAAUUUAUUAGGAUUUUAUUAGGAUUUGAUUAGGGAUUAUUUAGGAUUUGUCUAAGAUUUUACUAGAAUUUAUUUAAAAUUUGACUAGGAUUUAUUUAAGAUUUGAUUAGCAUUUGAUUAGGAUUUUUUUAGGAUUUAAUUAAGAUUUGAGUAAGAUUUGACUAGGAUUUGUUUAGGAUUUGGUUGAGGCUUACAAAGAGGUUGAUUAGGAUUUGAUAAGGAUUUGACCAAGGUUUGAUUAAGAUUUGAUUAGAUUUUGAUUGAGAUUUAAUUAAAU
rnacentral:lncRNA from 1 species